rnacentral:rRNA from 1 species
GCUAGUAAUCGCGCAUCAGCCACGGCGCGGUGAAUACGUUCCCGGGCCUUGUACACACCGCCCGUCAAGCCAUGGGAGCCGGGGGUACCUGAAGUGCGUAACCGCGAGGAGCGCCCUAGGGUAAAACUGGUGACUGGGGCUAAGUCGUAACAAGGUAAC